AAACUUCACACUGCAGGAAACUGUGAUGAGGGAACUCCAAGUGCUAUCACUAUGUGGUAGCUUUUCUUGACUAUUAAUCGGUCAUGGAAUAAGGGCUGGGAAAGACCGGUG
rnacentral:rRNA from 1 species